rnacentral:rRNA from 1 species
UACGUAGGGUCCGAGCGUUGUCCGGAAUUAUUGGGCGUAAAGAGCUCGUAGGCGGCUUGUUGCGUCGACCGUGAAAACCCGGGGCUCAACUUCGGGCUUGCGGUCGAUACGGGCGGGCUAGAGUUCGGUAGGGGAGACUGGAAUUCCUGGUGUAGCGGUGAAAUGCGCAGAUAUCAGGAGGAACACCGGUGGCGAAGGCGGGUCUCUGGGCCGAUACUGACGCUGAGGAGCGAAAGCGUGGGGAGCGAACAGG